AUUGAACGCUGGCGGCAGGCCUAACACAUGCAAGUCGAGCGCGAGGCGGACGGGUGAGUAACGUAUGGGGACAGUCCGAGAGAGGGGGGUAACAACUGGAAACGGUAGCUAAAACCGCAUCCUAGCGGAUAACCCACAUGGGAUUAGCGAGUAGGUGAGGGAAUGGCUCACCUCGGCGACGAUCCCUAGCUGGUCUGGGAGGAUGAUCAGCCACACUGGGAUCGAGCCACGGCCCAUACUCCUCCGGGGGCAGCAGUGGAGAAUAUUGCACAAUUGGCGCAAGCCUGAUGCAGCCAUGCCGCGUGUAUGAAGAAGGCCCUAGGGUUGUAAAGUACUUGCAGUCUGUAUGCGUUACCGACAGAAGAAGCACCGGCUAACUCCGUGCCAGCCGCCGCGGUAAUAG
rnacentral:rRNA from 1 species